GUGAGUGGGGUUCCCGGGACGGCGCCCGCCCUGGCCCGGCCACGUCUCACGGUCCC
rnacentral:miRNA from 1 species